ACGGGAGGCAGCAGUGGGGAAUAUUGCGCAAUGGGCGGAAGCCUGACGCAGCGACGCCGCGUGGGGGAUGACGGCCUUCGGGUUGUAAACCUCUUUCGGCCCCGACGAAGCGUGAGUGACGGUAGGGGUAGAAGAAGCACCGGCCAACUACGUGCCAGCAGCCGCGGUAAUACGUAGGGUGCGAGCGUUGUCCGGAAUUAUUGGGCGUAAAGAGCUCGUAGGCGGUCUGUCGCGUCGGUCGUGAAAACUUGGGGCUUAACCCUGAGCUUGCGGUCGAUACGGGCAUGACUGGAGUUCGGCAGGGGAGACUGGAAUUCCUGGUGUAGCGGUGAAAUGCGCAGAUAUCAGGAGGAACACCGGUGGCGAAGGCGGGUCUCUGGGCCGAUACUGACGCUGAGGAGCGAAAGCGUGGGGAGCGAACAGGAUUAGAUACCCUGGUA
rnacentral:rRNA from 1 species